UACGUAGGGGGCGAGCGUUGUCCGGAAUCAUUGGGCGUAAAGAGCUCGUAGGUGGCUUGGUUAGUUGGGUGUGAAACCUCCAGGCUUAACCUGGAGACGCCACUCAAUACUGCCAUGGCUAGAGUCCGGUAGGGGACCACGGAAUUCCUGGUGUAGCGGUGAAAUGCGCAGAUAUCAGGAGGAACACCGGUGGCGAAGGCGGUGGUCUGGGCCGGCACUGACGCUGAGGAGCGAAAGCGUGGGGAGCGAACAGG
rnacentral:rRNA from 1 species